rnacentral:lncRNA from 1 species
AACUCAAAUUCAAAAAUUCAUCAAAAUACCCAUUUUCACACAAGCGAUUUUCUCAAAUUAAAAGCAAUAUUUAAAAAAUACAACUAAUUAAAACCCAUGAAAUGAAAAAAUGCAUCACAUUUUACAUCUUUUAUUUAGAUUACCUCAAGAUUAAUAAACUAUAGGAACCAACUAUACCCAAAAGCAUCAACAAAUCCUUCUAUAAUUACAAUAAAUAUAAACCCUAAAAAGGAAGAAGAUACUAAAAGAUCUACACCCACAAAUCCAUUGCCAAAUAAAAUUAAUACAAACCCAU